UUUACUCUGUAAGUUGCCGAAUUGUACAACUUGUCCAUUUUAUACAAGGCAAAGGCAUAAAUAUUGUAUCCUGUCAAUAUAUUUACAAGUCUAUGAUCGAUUCCACAGAGCAGGUCAUGAAACUAUUUAAAGUCGUAGUAAGUAUGUACUGUACAUACAUAUAGUCACGUCUUUAUCGCUUGCGGGGCAGACUGAACAACACUUUCUAAAAGACUGAAAGGCCACAUUGAACUGUGACAGGUUGCUAGCUCAUCGCCUUAUAAUAACCCUAAGUUUAAGCCUUUUCCUUGAUAUGUAUGAUUAAUCUAUGUAAUUAAACUCCAAGUUUUAUGUAGUAAUGUCCACAAAAAGUCGUUAUUUUCAGUUUCUUAUUAGCUUCUGCUGUUCUACUCCUCAAGUAUUGGCGAUAAUCUAUUUCGUAUUUAUUCACAUCAAAAGUAACGAUGCGAAUGAAAUUGCAAAUCCCGCAUUCCUCUUUUGUGCAAUGGUAGCCGUGACCCCCCCCAGCUUUGAUGCUAAUAUUAUUACCAUCAUAUUUUGCGGGAAAACUUAUUUCUGAGACGGGGAAAUUGAAACUAGCUCUGCACAAUGUUUUGAUGCAUGAAACAGAUAAAAUCACCACCAGGGAUAUCACGCGUUUCAUCAGAUACAUCGAAGCCAGGCCUUUUAGGUUUACAGUGUGCAAGUUCAUCCCCAUAGACUGGACGCUACCUGUGCUCUUAAUCAAACUAUCUGUCAGUUAUCUGAUCGUGGCUAUUCAGUUUACGUUUCUGAAUUAAAUUAUGGGAUACUUACUUAUCGAUACUAUAUUUUAUAAUAAAUACGUUGUCAAUAUAUUGGUAAUAUUCACAGAUAAAAUAUUGUAAGAUAUUUUGUUAUGCAUUAUGGCAAAAAAAAAAAUGAAUAUUAGGCUUACCGACAUUGCUCAGGAAGUAGCCCAAAGAAAGUGGCGAUGGGCGGGCCAUAUAUGCCGCACCACAGACGACCGCUGGGGCAAAGUGGUACUGGAGUGGAGACCCCAGAACUGGUCGCCGGAAUGUGGAUAAACCACCUGUCAGAUGGACGGACGAUCUGGUCAAGAUUGCUGGAAGGAGGUGGAUGAGAAAAGCACAAAACCGUGGAGAAUGGCGCGCAUUACUAGAGGCCUACAUCCAGCAGUGGAUGGAUAUGGGCUGAAGAAGAAGUAUAUAUAUUCUGUUUAUUGAUUUAUCGCUCAUAGUUUUUAUUUAAAAUAUGUCUGUAUGCCGAUUUUUUGGAUAAAGACAAUAUAGGUACUUAUAAAUUAUUAAAGUUAUUCUGGCCAUAGAUAUAC